rnacentral:rRNA from 1 species
UGGGGAAUAUUGCACAAUGGGCGAAAGCCUGAUGCAGCAACGCCGCGUGAGGGACGACGGCCUUCGGGUUGUAAACCUCUUUUAGCAAGGAAGAAGCGAAAGUGACGGUACUUGCAGAAAAAGCGCCGGCUAACUACGUGCCAGCAGCCGCGGUAAUACGUAGGGCGCAAGCGUUAUCCGGAAUUAUUGGGCGUAAAGAGCUCGUAGGCGGUUUGUCGCGUCUGCUGUGAAAACCCGAGGCUCAACCUCGGGCCUGCAGUGGGUACGGGCAGACUAGAGUGCGGUAGGGGAGAUUGGAACUCCUGGUGUAGCGGUGGAAUGCGCAGAUAUCAGGAAGAACACCGAUGGCGAAGGCAGAUCUCUGGGCCGUAACUGACGCUGAGGAGCGAAAGGGUGGGGAGCAAACAGGCUUAGAUACCCUGGUAGUCCACCCGUAACGUUGGGAACUAGUUGUGGGGUCCAUUCCACGGAUUCCGUGACGCAGCUAACGCAUUAAGUUCCCCGCCUGGGGAGUACGGCCGCAAGGCUAAACU